AUUGAACGCUGGCGGCAGGCCUAACACAUGCAAGUCGAACGAGUGGCGGACGGGUGAGUAAUGUCUGGGAAACUGCCUGAUGGAGGGGGAUAACUACUGGAAACGGUAGCUAAUACCGCAUACCAUCGGAUGUGUCCAGAUGGGAUUAGCUAGUAUGUGGGGUAAAGGCUCACCUAGGCGACGAUCCCUAGCUGGUCUGAGCGGAUGACCAGGCACACGGGAACUGAGACACGGUCCAGACUCCUACGGGAGGCAGCAGAGGGGCAUAUUGCACUAUGGGCGCAAGCCUGAUGCAGCCAUGCCGCGUGUAUGGAUGGGGCCUUCGGGUUGUAAAGUACUAUCGGCGGGGAAGCGUUACCCGAAGAAGAAGCACCGGCUAACUCCGUGCCAGCAGCCGCGGUAAUAC
rnacentral:rRNA from 1 species